UGGGGAAUAUUGCGCAAUGGGCGAAAGCCUGACGCAGCGACGCCGCGUGGGGGAUGAAGGCCUUCGGGUUGUAAACCCCUUUCGGCAGGGACGAAGCGAAAGUGACGGUACCUGCAGAAGAAGCGCCGGCUAACUACGUGCCAGCAGCCGCGGUAACACGUAGGGCGCAAGCGUUGUCCGGAAUCAUUGGGCGUAAAGAGCUCGUAGGUGGUUUGUCACGUCUGCUGUGAAAACUCGGGGCUUAACCCCGAGCUUGCAGUGGAUACGGGCAGACUAGAGGUAGGUAGGGGAGAAUGGAAUUCCCGGUGUAGCGGUGAAAUGCGCAGAUAUCGGGAGGAACACCGGUGGCGAAGGCGGUUCUCUGGGCCUUACCUGACACUGAGGAGCGAAAGCGUGGGGAGCGAAC
rnacentral:rRNA from 1 species